UGAAAGAGGAAGAGAAUCCAGAAAAAUAAUUAAUGGGUACUAGGCUUAAUACCUGGGUAAUGAAAUAAUCUGUGUAUCAAACACCCAUGACACAAGCUUACCCAUUUAACCAACCUUCACGUGUAUGCCUGAACUUAAAAAAGAGUGUCUU